GACGAACGCUGGCGGCGUGCCUAAUACAUGCAAGUAGAACGCUGAAGGAGGAGCUUACUUCUCUGGAUGAGUUGCGAACGGGUGAGUAACGCGUAGGUAACCUGCCUGGUAGCGGGGGAUAACUAUUGGAAACGAUAGCUAAUACCGCAUAAGAGUAGAUGUUGCAUGACAUUUACUUAAAAGGUGCAAUUGCACCACUACCAGAUGGACCUGCGUUGUAUUAGCUAGUUGGUGGGGUAACGGCUUACCAAGGCGACGAUACAUAGCCGACCUGGUAGGGUGUCCGACCACACUGGGACCGAGACACGGCCCAGACUCCUACGGGAGGCAGCAGUAGGGAAUCUUCGGCAAUGGACGGAAGUCUGACCGAGCAACGCCGCGUGGGUGAAGAAGGUUUUCGGAUCGUAAAGCUCUGUUGUAAGAGAAGAACGAGUGUGAGAGUGGAAAGUUCACACUGUGACGGUAUCUUACCAGAAAGGGACGGCUAACUACGUGACAGCCGCCGCCGUAA
rnacentral:rRNA from 1 species